GGAGAGGUGACAGAGCGGUUGAUUGUGCAGCAUUGGAAAUGCUGUGUACCCGUAAGGGUACCGCGGGUUCGAAUCCCGCCCUCUCCG
rnacentral:tRNA from 1 species